rnacentral:rRNA from 1 species
GACGUAGGGGGCGAGCGUUGUCCGGAUUUAUUGGGCGUAAAGCGUGCGUAGGCGGCUGCGCAAGUCGGUCGUGAAACCCCGGGGCUCAACCCCGGAACUGCAUCCGAUACUGCGUGGCUAGAGGUAGGUAGGGGAGAUCGGAAUUCCUGGUGUAGCGGUGAAAUGCGCAGAUAUCAGGAGGAACACCGACGGCGAAGGCAGCUUACUGGGCCGAUACUGACGCUGAGGAGCGAAAGCGUGGGGAGCGAACAGG